rnacentral:rRNA from 1 species
GACGAACGCUGGCGGCGUGCCUAAUACAUGCAAGUCGAACGCAGUGGGGGCGGGUGAGUAACACGUGGGUAACCUCCCAUCAGAGGGGAUAACACUUGGAAACAGGUGCUAAACCGAUACUGGUGGAUGGCCCCGCGGUGCAUUAGCUAGUUGGUGAGGUAACGGCUCACCAAGGCCACGAUGCAUAGCCGACCUGAGAGUGUGAUCGGCCACACUGGGACUGAGACACGGCCCAGACUCCUACGGGAGGCAGCAGUAGGGAAUCUUCGGCAAUGGACGAAAGUCUGACCGAGCAACGCCGCGUGAGUGAAGAAGGUUUUCGGAUCGUAAAACUCUGUUGUUAGAGAAGCGGUAUCCAACCAGAAAGCCACGGCUAACUACGUGCCAGCAGCCGCGGUAAUAC